rnacentral:rRNA from 1 species
CACUAUCGUUAACUGAAUACAUAGGUUAACGAGGCGAACCGGGGGAACUGAAACAUCUAAGUACCCCGAGGAAAAGAAAUCAACCGAGAUUCCCCCAGUAGCGGCGAGCGAACGGGGAGCAGCCCAGAGUCUGAAUCAGCUUGUGUGUUAGUGGAACGGUCUGGAAAGUCCGACGGUACAGGGUGAUAGUCCCGUACACCAAAAUGCACAGGCUGUGAACUCGAAGAGUAGGGCGGGACACGUGGUAUCCUGUCUGAAUAUGGGGGGACCAUCCUCCAAGGCUAAAUACUCCUGACUGACCGAUAGUGAACCAGUACCGUGAGGGAAAGGCGAAAAGAACCCCGGCGAGGGGAGUGAAAAAGAACCUGAAACCGUGUACGUACAAGCAGUGGGAGCACCUUCGGGUGUGACUGCGUACCUUUUGUAUAAUGGGUCAGCGACUUAUAUUCUGUAGCAAGGUUAACCGUAUAGGGGAGCCGCAGGGAAACCGAGUCUUAACUGGGCGUUAAGUUGCAGGGUAUAGACCCGAAACCCGGUGAUCUAGCCAUGGGCAGGUUGAAGGUUGGGUAACACUAACUGGAGGACCGAACCGACUAAUGUUGAAAAAUUAGCGGAUGACUUGUGGCUGGGGGUGAAAGGCCAAUCAAACCGGGAGAUAGCUGGUUCUCCCCGAAAGCUAUUUAGGUAGCGCCUCGUGAAUUCAUCUUCGGGGGUAGAGCACUGUUUCGGCUAGGGGGUCAUCCCGACUUACCAACCCGAUGCAAACUACGAAUACCGAAGAAUGUUAUCACGGGAGACACACGGCGGGUGCUAACGUCCGUCGUGAAGAGGGAAACAACCCAGACCGCCAGCUAAGGUCCCAAAGUCAUGGUUAAGUGGGAAACGAUGUGGGAAGGCACAGACAGCCAGGAUGUUGGCUUAGAAGCAGCCAUCAUUUAAAGAAAGCGUAAUAGCUCACUGGUCGAGUCGGCCUGCGCGGAAGAUGUAACGGGGCUAAACCAUGCACCGAAGCUGCGGCAGCGACACUAUGUGUUGUUGGGUAGGGGAGCGUUCUGUAAGCCUGCGAAGGUGUGCUGUGAGGCAUGCUGGAGGUAUCAGAAGUGCGAAUGCUGACAUAAGUAACGAUAAAGCGGGUGAAAAGCCCGCUCGCCGGAAGACCAAGGGUUCCUGUCCAACGUUAAUCGGGGCAGGGUGAGUCGACCCCUAAGGCGAGGCCGAAAGGCGUAGUCGAUGGGAAACAGGUUAAUAUUCCUGUACUUGGUGUUACUGCGAAGGGGGGACGGAGAAGGCUAUGUUAGCCGGGCGACGGUUGUCCCGGUUUAAGCAUGUAGGCUGAUUAUCCAGGCAAAUCCGGAUAAUCAAGGCUGAGGUGUGAUGACGAGGCACUACGGUGCUGAAGUAACAAAUGCCCUGCUUCCAGGAAAAGCCUCUAAGCAUCAGGUAACAUCAAAUCGUACCCCAAACCGACACAGGUGGUCAGGUAGAGAAUACCAAGGCGCUUGAGAGAACUCGGGUGAAGGAACUAGGCAAAAUGGUGCCGUAACUUCGGGAGAAGGCACGCUGGUGUGUAGGUGAAGUCCCUGCGGAUGGAGCUGAGACCAGUCGAAGAUACCAGCUGGCUGCAACUGUUUAUUAAAAACACAGCACUGUGCAAACACGAAAGUGGACGUAUACGGUGUGACGCCUGCCCGGUGCCGGAAGGUUAAUUGAUGGGGUUAUCCGUAAGGAGAAGCUCUUGAUCGAAGCCCCGGUAAACGGCGGCCGUAACUAUAACGGUCCUAAGGUAGCGAAAUUCCUUGUCGGGUAAGUUCCGACCUGCACGAAUGGCGUAAUGAUGGCCAGGCUGUCUCCACCCGAGACUCAGUGAAAUUGAACUCGCUGUGAAGAUGCAGUGUACCCGCGGCAAGACGGAAAGACCCCGUGAACCUUUACUAUAGCUUGACACUGAACAUUGAGCCUUGAUGUGUAGGAUAGGUGGGAGGCUUUGAAGCGUGGACGCCAGUCUGCGUGGAGCCAACCUUGAAAUACCACCCUUUAAUGUUUGAUGUUCUAACGUUGGCCCCUUACCGGGGUUGCGGACAGUGUCUGGUGGGUAGUUUGACUGGGGCGGUCUCCUCCCAAAGCGUAACGGAGGAGCACGAAGGUUAGCUAAUCCUGGUCGGACAUCAGGAGGUUAGUGCAAUGGCAUAAGCUAGCUUGACUGCGAGCGUGACGGCGCGAGCAGGUGCGAAAGCAGGUCAUAGUGAUCCGGUGGUUCUGAAUGGAAGGGCCAUCGCUCAACGGAUAAAAGGUACUCCGGGGAUAACAGGCUGAUACCGCCCAAGAGUUCAUAUCGACGGCGGUGUUUGGCACCUCGAUGUCGGCUCAUCACAUCCUGGGGCUGAAGUAGGUCCCAAGGGUAUGGCUGUUCGCCAUUUAAAGUGGUACGCGAGCUGGGUUUAGAACGUCGUGAGACAGUUCGGUCCCUAUCUGCCGUGGGCGCUGGAGAAUUGAGGGGGGCUGCUCCUAGUACGAGAGGACCGGAGUGGACGCAUCACUGGUGUUCGGGUUGUCAUGCCAAUGGCACUGCCCGGUAGCUAAAUGCGGAAGAGAUAAGUGCUGAAAGCAUCUAAGCACGAAACUUGCCCCGAGAUGAGUUCUCCCUGAGACUUUAAGUCUCCUGAAGGAACGUUAAAGACGAUGACGUUGAUAGGCCGGGUGUGUAAGCGCAGCGAUGCGUUGAGCUAACCGGUACUAAUGAACCGUGAGGCUUAACCUU